UACGUAGGGUGCAAGCGUUGUCCGGAAUUAUUGGGCGUAAAGAGCUCGUAGGCGGCUUGUCACGUCGGGUGUGAAAGCCCGGGGCUUAACCCUGGGUCUGCAUUCGAUACGGGCUAGCUAGAGUGUGGUAGGGGAGAUCGGAAUUCCUGGUGUAGCGGUGAAAUGCGCAGAUAUCAGGAGGAACACCGGUGGCGAAGGCGGAUCUCUGGGCCAUUACUGACGCUGAGGAGCGAAAGCGUGGGGAGCGAACAGG
rnacentral:rRNA from 1 species